UACGAAGGGUGCAAGCGUUAUUCGGAAUUACUGGGCGUAAAGCGCGCGUAGGUGGUUUGUUAAGUCUGAUGUGAAAGCCCUGGGCUCAACCUGGGAAUUGCAUUGGAUACUGGCAGGCUAGAGUGCGGUAGAGGGUAGUGGAAUUCCCGGUGUAGCAGUGAAAUGCGUAGAGAUCGGGAAGAACACCGGUGGCGAAGGCGGCUACCUGGACCGGCACUGACACUGAGGCGCGAAAGCGUGGGGAGCAAACAGG
rnacentral:rRNA from 1 species